rnacentral:lncRNA from 1 species
AUCUGUGACUGAUGGUGGUACAGGUGUCUUAGGGUGGGUUAUUUCAGGAUCUGUGACUGAUGGUGGUGCAGGUGUCUUUGGGUAGGUUAUUUCAGGAUCUGUGACUGAUGGUGGUGCAGGUGUCUUAGGGUAGGUUAUUUCAGGAUCUGUGACUGAUGGUGGUGCAGGUGUCUUUGGGUAGGUUAUUUCAGGAUCUGUGACUGAUGGUGGUGCAGGUGUCUUAGGGUAGGUUAUUUCUGGAUCUGUGACUGAUGGUGGUACAGGUGUC